rnacentral:rRNA from 1 species
UAGCUAUUUAGGUUAGAGUUUGAUCAUGGCUCAGGAUGAACGCUGGCGGCGCGCCUAAUACAUGCAAGUCGAGCGAGAAGACGUAGCAAUACGUUUGUAAAGCGGCGAACGGGUGAGGAAUACAUGGGUAACCUACCCUUGAGUGGGGAAUAACUAGCCGAAAGGUUAGCUAAUACCGCGUACGCUUCUUGGACUUCGGUUCAGGGAGGAAAGCGAUGCCGAGGGUAUCGCGCUCUUGGAUGGGCUCAUGUCCUAUCAGCUUGUUGGUGAGGUAACGGCUCACCAAGGCUUCGACGGGUAGCUGGUCUGAGAGGACGAUCAGCCACACUGGCACUGCGACACGGGCCAGACUCCUACGGGAGGCAGCAGUAAGGAAUAUUGCGCAAUGGGCGAAAGCCUGACGCAGCGACGCCGCGUGGGGGAUGAAGGUCUUCGGAUUGUAAACCCCUUUCGGGAGGGAAGAUGGAAUGGGGUAACCCAUUCGGACGGUACCUCCAGAAGCAGCCACGGCUAACUUCGUGCCAGCAGCCGCGGUAAU